GACGAACGCUGGCGGCGUGCCUAAUACAUGCAAGUAGAACGCUGAAGCUUGGUGCUUGCACCGAGCGGAUGAGUUGCGAACGGGUGAGUAACGCGUAGGUAACCUGCCUGGUAGCGGGGGAUAACUAUUGGAAACGAUAGCUAAUACCGCAUAACAGUAGAUAUUGCAUGAUAUCUGCUUGAAAGGUGCAAUUGCAUCACUACCAGAUGGACCUGCGUUGUAUUAGCUAGUUGGUGAGGUAACGGCUCACCAAGGCGACGAUACAUAGCCGACCUGAGAGGGUGAUCGGCCACACUGGGACUGAGACACGGCCCAGACUCCUACGGGAGGCAGCAGUAGGGAAUCUUCGGCAAUGGACGGAAGUCUGACCGAGCAACGCCGCGUGAGUGAAGAAGGUUUUCGGAUCGUAAAGCUCUGUUGUAAGAGAAGAACGAGUGUGAGAGUGGAAAGUUCACACUGUGACGGUAUCUACCAGAAAGGACGCA
rnacentral:rRNA from 1 species